rnacentral:misc_RNA from 1 species
GAUGAAGAACGCAGCGAAAUGCGAUAAGUAAUGUGAAUUGCAGAAUUCAGUGAAUCAUCGAAUCUUUGAACGCACAUUGCGCCCGCCAGUAUUCUGGCGGGCAUGCCUGUUCGAGCGUCAUUUCAAUCAUCAAGCCCCCGGCUUGUGUUGGGGACCUGCGGCUGCCGCAGGCCCUGAAAAGCAGUGGCGGGCUCGCUGUCACACCGAGCGUAGUAGCAUACAUCUCGCUCUGGGCGUGCUGCGGGUUCCGGCCGUUAAACCACCUUCAUAACCCAAGGUUGACCUCGGAUCAGGUAGGAAGACCCGCUGAACUUAAGCAUAUCAAUAAGCGGAGGA